UGAGGUCGACCAGGUCAAGCUUCGUCCAUGGAAGAGAUGGUGGCUUUCGUCCAUGGAAGAGAUGGUGGCUAUGGUGUUCACGACAUCGGCGGAGAUCAUUGCAGCUAUGGCUUCUUUCCGGUUCCACUGUGCGGUUCGCGGUGGCUUCCUUCCUUCCUCAGUCCCGACAGCAACACGAUGAUUAAUGGUCGUGCCUUCCUUCGUGCAUGGGUGGCAUGGAGCGAGACGUUUAAGGCAACGUUUUGGAAUGAUUUGAGCAUACCCCGAGAGUAACAUGGACU
rnacentral:lncRNA from 1 species